AAUGCAUAUGGGUUAGUGGUCCUGUCAAGGCAUGGCUGUUUAGAGCAUGACUCUUAGCACCACUGUGCCCUCCCUCCAUUCCCCCCUCCCACCAUCUAUGGGAUGUGAGCCUAUGCUGGUGUUAGCCUUAAAAUCAUAACCACAAUCCUAUCUUACCUGGUGAGAGAAAGAGACAGGGUCCUGAACCCCAGCUAAACUGAACUCUCUUUAAUAAUUUCAACAUUCUGUGGUCAUUCUUGCCCCAGGUCUUCACACAUGUUCUUCCCUUUCACUUGGGACCUUGCCCCUACCCUCAGUGCUCUUAGUGCUGCUGUUAUCAAACACCUUAUUUUUUAGGUCUCAACUUGGAGCAGUCCAUGUUCAAGGAAGCCCAAGUCCAAGUUAGGUGUCCCUCCUGGUGCUGUCACAGCCCAAGAUGCCACACUAUCCCGGAAUUGCCUGCUAAAGUGACCUCCUGGCUGCCUUUGACCCAGUUCUGAUAACCAUGAAGCUUGGCAAAUGUGGUUGGUGAAUUGUUUUUCUCUUGGACAUGUACACAAUUUCAACUUCAAAGAAUAG
rnacentral:lncRNA from 1 species